AACCAAACAAACCAAAUAGAUGUUCUUGGUUUUGUUUUUGAGACAGAGUCUCACUCACUCUGUAGCCCAGGCUGGAGUGCAGUGGCAUGACUUGGGCCCACUGCAAGCUCUGCCUCCCAGGUUCGAGUGAUUCUCAUGCCUCAGCCUCUUGAGUAGCUGGGACUAUAGGCGCACACCACCACGCCUGGCUAAUUUUUGUAUUUUGCAUUUUUUAUAGACACAUGGUUUCACCAUGUUGGCCAGGCUGGUCUCAAACUCCUGGCCUCAAGUGAUCCGCCUGCCUCGGCCUCCCAAAGUGCUGGGAUUAUGAGCAUGCCUGGCCCGAAUUCCAGCAGGGAACACUAAGAAAAGCACUCUGAGCACAAGACUAAACAAGCAUCUUUCAC
rnacentral:lncRNA from 1 species